GCCUUCGUGGUGUAGUGGUCAGCAUGCUCGACGCGUAUUCGAGAGGUCCAGGUUCGAGUCCCGGUGAGGGAU
rnacentral:tRNA from 1 species